UGUUCGAAGUCAGUUCUCAUGGAAUUUUAAGGAAUGUAAGCCAAAGAUUUGGCAGCUCAAUACCAAGCAACAGCCAAACCAAGUGUUGCCAACAACUGCAAAGCGACGUCAAAAGCAACGAAAAAGUAAUUAAUUUUUAUGUACACAUUGUUUAUGAUAUGUGACUAGUUAGUCGCAGGGUGCUUGCGAGAGGGAGAGGGGCGGAGUGGGAAGGGGGGCUUGGCAAAUAAAACAUUUCUAUUGUGAGCAUGCCGACAGUUAGAUUGUGAAUUGUAUUCAUUAUUCGAACAUUAAUUAAGAGCAGGUGUCACAGCUGAUUAGGUGGCGUUGUGCUGCGAUACGCGAAACAUGUUACCAAAAAAAAAAAUAAAUAAAUAUGUAAACAAAAACAAUAAAUAAUAAAAUACAGAACAGAAACAUUUGCUUUAGAACGGUAAAACAACUCUCCUCCCUGGAAACCCCUUCUAAAUCAUCUCAGCUCGUGAAUUAAUUUAACAGAUUCUCGUUUAUUAACUUUCUCAGAAAUGUUCCAUUUAUUUAUUGGACUAUUCCCAAUUAGGCAUCGCUGUAAGCCCCAUGAAUAAAUUAGCAUACCUCAAUCUUUGUUUCGUGUCUUACGCAAUGCCAUAAACAUCGCGUCGUGUGUCAAAAUGCAAAUACUGCUAAAAUAAAGAAAACAAAUAUUAAAAUUAAUUUGCCUGCGGCACGAACACACCAAGAAAAAUCAUACAGCCGUCGUCAGCAGGCGGCGGCCAACUGGCCAGUCAGCAAAUGGAUUCGGACUUGUGCGAUGUUUUUUUUAAUGCGACACUAAUUGCAGUUGAUUAUACGAUGCAGGGGCUCUGAAGGCUUGGCAGCUGGUAAUAGUCGAUUGAGCAACUCCAUCGAUUCCACUAUUCGAUGUGUUAAUGACAUUUACAGAAUUGUCAAACAGUUUGUUGCCACUUAAUUGAGUUGCUGCAAAUUGAAUUCGGUGGCAUUUGUGGAAUAAGAACAUUCGCUUAUUGAUUAAAAGCCAGCACAUGCUAAAGAUAAUAAAAUGUUAUGAUUUAAAUGCUA